CACGUAGGAGACAAACGUUAUCCGGAGUUACUGGGCGUAAAGGGCGUGCAGGUGGUCUGUUAAGUCUGGCGUGAAAGCUCCUGGCUAAACCGGGAGAGGUCGUUGGAUACUGGCGGACUAGAGGACGGUAGAGGCGUGUGGAAUUCCGGGUGUAGUGGUGAAAUGCGUAGAGAUCCGGAGGAACACCAGUGGCGAAGGCGACACGCUGGGCCGUACCUGACACUGAUACGCGACAGCAUGGGGAGCGAACGGG
rnacentral:rRNA from 1 species